GACGAACGCUGGCGGCGUGCUUAAUACAUGCAAGUCGAACGGAAAGGCCCUGCGUUUGUGGGGUGCUCGAGUGGCGAACGGGUGAGUAACACGUGAGUAACCUGCCCUUGACUUUGUGAUAACUUCAGGAAACUGGGGCUAAUACCGGAUAGAAGCUCCUGCUGCAUGAUGGGUGUUGGAAAGUUUCGGCGGUUGGGGAUGGACUCGCGGCUUAUCAGCUUGUUGGUGGGGUAGUGGUUUACCAAGUCUUUGACGGGUAGCCGGCAUGAGAGGGUGACCAGCCACAUUGGGACUGAGAUACGGCACAGUCUCCUACGGGAGGCAGCAGUGGAGAAUAUGGCAGAAUGGGCGGAAGCCUGAUGCAGCAACGCCGCGUGCGGGAUGACGGCCUUCGAGUUGUAAACCGCUUUCGCCUGUGACGAAGCGUGAGUGACGGUAAUGGGUAAAGAAGCAACGGCUAACUACGUG
rnacentral:rRNA from 1 species